AGGUGCCUCCCGUCUCUCUGUCCUCAUCCUUUCAGGUUUAGGACCUGCUGGCAGGAUCCUGACGUCUCGGCUUGCGACAAGGCCCGACUUUGUGAUGCCCCACGAUGAGCCGCUCUCCUCCGCCACCCCCAUGGGGUCCCAUUCUGCCGCAGGCCCGGCACCACGGAACUGAGCGACCACAGGCUGCCGCCCAUGAGACCAGGGGCCCAAACAAAUGCUCCUUCCUUCCAGUGUUCCUUGUUAGGAGGACCUUACGCAGUGGUGCCUUUGUUCCAACCGAUGGGCCAGUAUUGCUCUGUUACCUCCAUGGAAGGCCGGGUUCACGUUGGGUUUAUCUUCUGUUUGAACACCGGGGUGAAGUGCUCCGGGUCUGCCAAGUGUGUAGCGCCACGUGACUGCCAGUGCAGUGUUGUACAAGCUGAUACCAGUCCCGACCUGACCUCCCGCCUGGCCCCAGUCCCUGGCCUGGGAGCCAGGCUGUGACGGGCCUUGGCGAGCGUUGCCCUCUCUCUCACCUGCUGGAGGCCUCACCUCCCUGCCAUCCUCCAGGUGACUGUUGGCUGAACACUGCAAGGACUCCAUGGCCGAAGCCGACGGCCUCCACCCUCCACCCUCCCACCCACACGCUCUGACUGCCCGUUUGUGCUUCCUCUUCCCGUUAGCUUCUUCAUCCUGCUUUGCUGUGACUCCGUCACAUCCACCUCCAUCCCAGAUCACACCGCGAGUGUUCUUUGUGUCAAAAUGUCAGUGUUACUUUUCUUAGAAACGUAUCUUCUUGGGGUUAGAACAGACACACGGUGGAAUAAUAGUUUGCAAUCGCUGCCUGCUUUGUUUUUUAUUUUCUGUGGGUGCAGAGGCCUCUGUUUCCUGUAGGAAAGCACAGACGUCACCAAGAAUAGCUUGGCGUCUAGGUGCCGAACUGCUUUCAGGGGCACAGCCCUGGAUCUCCAGGGCUCGGCUUCCCCCGACUGAUACACCCGGGAGCCUUCUCCCGCUUUAUUCUUCGUGUUAGCGCUUCCUGCCCCUGGCUGCCAGGCUGGGCUCUGGAGAGCGUGGGGGGACCCAGGCAGGACAGCUGUGUUUAGGGUUUCCCAGCCCAGGGCACUUUGAAGAUCUUUUUCCCACCAACGAUCUCAGCUGCCCUGGGAGCGAUCGGUUUUGGAGAUGAGGCUGAUCAAAAGCUUGUAGCAAUGGACGUGACCCCCAGUCGCCCCUCAGCUGCUGCAGCUGUGAUCCCGCGCUGGCCCCCAUCAAGCUGGGCGGGCCAAUUCCAUCCCAUGGCCGGCAAAGGAUGAUGAGAAAUAGAAGCAAAGGUGGGAGGUGUAGUGAAAACCUACGGCCAGUGGUUAAAAGUUUUUAAAAAGUGUUAAAGUCCAAGUCACACGGCCAUGAAAGUGAGGGGAGUUUG